UUUCAGAAUUACUCUACUUCCUUGUGGUCUUUUGGGCUGGCGAUUUGCACUCUACUAGCCGUUUUUCUUUCAGCCAGCAAAAAGAAGCGAGAAAUUCUACAGUGUGAGUCAAGUAGCUUUUUGUGAAGUCAGAGGAGUAUUAUCCUGGGAGGACUGCCAAGACAGGACAACCUGGUCAGACAUAGAUGUCUAUACUGCAGCUUUCUCAGACUCCAAGAGAUGAAUCACAGCUGCAGGGUCCUCACUCAGAAGUGAAUUCACUCCAUAUUGCUAAAAUGAGCUCAACAGAACCAGGCUUGACAUUCCUAUUCGGCAUGCCCUCUAGCAGCAAAAUCCUUUCUCUGCUGUUUGACAUUCACCUUUUUUUGAUGUCAAGGGCUGAGACAGCCCUUCAUACUUCUCAGUCUGACGCACACACCAUCCCUUGAUUCUGCAUUCCCAACUUGCAGAUUUCUUUACUUAGAGUCCAAUUCUUCUGUGGUAGUCUUUCCUAUGAGCAGGUUUGUAUUUUCCGGAUUUCAUUGUGGCUAGAAGCCAUGUCCCUCCAUUCUGAAGGAUCCCAGGAUCCUUCAUAAUUGUCUGGAUUUACCAUAUAACACUGAAGUCUUCAUCUGAACUUUCCCUCAAGCUACUUUUAAUUGUCAUCUGUAAGUAAUGUGCAGUUUUAGGCCUUAGUUCUAAAAGUUUACAUAAAAUUGACCAAGUUAACUCAUCUUCCCAUGCAGGAUAUUGCCACUGAAAUGCUAGAUGUAGUCACAUUUGCAUCUAAAAAUGGCCAGUAUCUGAGAAAGCAUGUUUCGAAACAACAUCCACAGUCAGUUGGCAGAAAAUUAAGUGAUGAUUCAAGAUAUAAGAAAACAUCUUUUUUUUUCUUUUUUUUAAAUUUAAUUACUAAACUUAAUAAAUUUUUGUUUUGGUAGACUAAUGGCUGUAGUUCAGAGCUCUAUUAGCUCAGUCCUUGAUUCUUUCUGGAGUAUACCUAUAGACUGCAUCACUUGAAUAUCAUCUGAAUAGAUGGCAGUGACCUUAGUUAUUCUGUGUAUAAGCAGCCUGCUUCCUGAACAUCAGUUUGUGAGAAAGUGAUGAAGUGUUUGAACGAUCAGCUGUAAAACGUGGUGUAUCUUGUCUCUGGUCAGUUUUGAACUCGUUGUUGAAGAACUGAGUGCACCAAGUCUCAGUGUUGAAAUUCUCCUCUGCUAAAUUCAGGCUGCUAAUAAGCUACAAUGAAAAACACUGGGAAAUCAAGAUCCUUAAUGUUCCUACAUGCCAGGAUAAAGGAGAAGAUGCUGAUAUAAGAAUAUGGGCUUGGGCUGUUUGAAGACAUGUGAUGAGUCAGAAUCUGUACUUCUGCUAUUCUACAAGAACUGCUGCUGAAUGCCAAGUCUUGCCAACUGUGAAAUUACUAUUUCUGCUUCAUAAUGUUUUCCAUCAAAACAGAAUGUAGAGAAAAGGUAAUAACUGAAUUUUUAGAACAAAUCAGACUGCUUGUCAGGACUUUUUCCUUUGAUCUCCAGCCGACAGUCACAGUUUAAAAAACUUCAGACUCGAUAUCCUCUCAACUGGCAUGAAUGUUUUUAUUUUUCUCCAAUUCACAUGAUAAUUUGAUUGAAUUUGUUGUGCUACUCUUUUGACAAAAAUGGGAGUAUUCUUUUAAAAAUGUGCUUGCACUGUUAAGUCUUUUAAUUGCUAGAAGUAAUAGCUACUUCCAACAGUCUUAAAAGUAAAUUUAAGGUUUGAGUUUUUUAGAGUAUGAGAUUUUCAUAGUAAGGUUUUGGUAAUGGUGGGCUGCAGGCCCCACCAGCUGUCCCAUGUCAGAUCAGAGACAGCUCCAACUGCUCCAAAGGGACCCACUGCUGCCAGAGCUGAGCCAUGAGUAAUGCUGGGUGUGUUCUGGGGGAGCAGAUUUUAAACAGCAAGAAAGCGACCAUGGCUAACAUGCAAUGUAUAAAGUAGAUUUCUGACACUUAGACCUGUCUAGGAUCCUUACUGAGCAAAGUACUUGGGCUCUGUUAUCCAGUGUGUGACCAGUAUCACUGGGUUUAACAAGCCUGUUUAACUGCCUAAGUACUCUGACUGAGGUGGAGUAUGGGGCAUUAAUUCGUUUUUGUAGUGUUUCACACAAAUGACCUGAUACAUGCAUUUACCCACUGCUUUCUGAAAACCAACAAUCCAGUGAAGAACUGGAGAUAUAGGAGUCUGUUUCCUAUUUUGAGAAUGUUGUCCUCAGAGUUUGAAAUGCAACCAACACUGCAUGACAAAGGGACUGCUUCACCCCUCUGGUGCAGAUUCCACUCCAUGAGAAUAAAUCAUAGUGGAAGUAAUCUAAAACCCAAAUUUCCAGAGAUCUGCGUAGUGCACCUAGUAUCUCUGAGUCUACCGAUGAGCAAUGUAUCAUUACCAAUAGAUUUCUGCAGUGAGGAGAUCUCAUUGCACUUUAAAAAUAGGAAGGUAAAUCAUAUACAGAUACUUAAAGGAAAGAGCGUUAAGCUAGCAAAUAUGAAUACUGAGCAACUAAUGUAGGCCACAGUAAAGCUUUCUUUAUAAGCCUAAUUCAUCCUGCUGUUCCUGUGCAUUGUCUUUUCCUCAGGUUUUCUACUCAUACAAUAUAAAACGUGGAUCUGAGUUAGUUAUGUUAAAAAACUGAUUGUCUGUAGAGCUUGUCAAAACCAAAAAAUAUAUAGUAAUUAAGGCGAAGGAGUGUAAGAAGAGAUGUGGCACCACUGAUGUGAAAGUGGUUGUAUGCUGUCAUGGAGAUAUGGACUCCUAGAGAAUAUGCCAAAGAGAUCAUCUACAGUGGCAGGAAAAUUGCUUCAACCAAGAUUUUCACAUUUGUCAUCUGCUUGAUCUCUCUACAUUUCUUAUUCCCAGAUCUGAGGUGAUUAUGAUCCACGAAUUCCAAAAGCUUUGGCACAAACAGCACCAUCUGAGUUUGCUAGAACAUGUUCUUAUAGGAACCUGUCAGAGUCUACAUAAUUGUAAAAAUAAUUAAAUAUCAGAUCACUGGAAAUGCAAAGACUUCCAGAUUACAAUCCCAAUUUCCAUUUAUAAUCUCCGGGUGUUUAAUUUUAUCUUCUGAGAUAUAUGAAAUUUCAUAUUUGAAAAGACUUUGCACUCAGUAGGAGAUCAUGUGACAUACAUUCAUAGACAUUAUAUUUGUCAUUCCUCAUCGUCAGCUUACGUACUGUGCAAUGUAGGGGUGAGAAUGAAAACCCAGGUUAGAAUAACAGCAGAUAUUGGCAUAAGUAGUAUUUCACCUUUUGGCCGCCUGUUGCAACACAACCUAAGCCAACAGUGACUGAAAAUCAUUAUCAUUUGACAGCUGCUUCAUGAGCUUUUUAAAAUGACUACAUAAUUGUUUUCAGCCUCUUUCCUAGUGGACAGGUGUCCAUACCAUGAUUAGUGUUAAUUGGCAAUGUUGUUGGCCGUCACAAGAGGAAAAAAUGAAAGAAUGAUGUGGACUGGAAUGAUUUUUGCAGGCACAAGAGCAAUAUGCCUGUCUGUGUGCACUGCCUGGGGACAGAAAGUCAGCUCUGUGCCCCUCCGAACAUAUUGUUUACAUGAAUUCUCAUUCUCCUAUGAGAAAAAAAAAGCAAAGAUGGGUUUAAAAUGGAAUUGAGGCUAACAGUGGAAGAAAAAUAUGGCUUAGAAAAUUUGACAUGUGUCUUGAUCAACAUUUGUUUGAUUUUGUUUGAUUUGUUCGAUUUGUUUGAUUUUAACCUGGUAAGAAAGCAAAGUUUGGUUUGACAAAGAGGGACAAAUAUGGCGAAAGAGUUUUAAAAAUGUAACACCUGAAACAGAACUGAGGAGUCCUUUCACUAAAGAAUAACAGCUAAUUGGAAUGUCAUAUAGUCUCUGUUUCUUUAAGGUUGUUGUCAUCUUUGUAACAUGAUGACUGUGUGUCUUAUAACCAAAGUGCUUUUGACCAUUAAAUGUGGCUUUGUAUCUACAUAUCUGUUGAAGUAACAUAGAACUGUCAGUAGUUAUGAGACCAGAGUUUGCUUCAUGCCUGCCAGGUUGAACACUUGGACACCUACGAAAUGAUUAGGGAAGCCCGUAAGUGGCAGAUGCAAUAAAUUCUUCACUCAUUUGAAUUAGCAAAUCUCUAAUUCUCUCAUUAUGACAUAACUGAAUUUUGAUGAAUGUGGGUAAUUUAUGUAUGGGCUUAACAGGAGAGUGUCACAGUGACCAGUGCAUGAUAAGCUAUUUAGGAAGUUAUAUCUCUCUGACCAAAAAUCUGGAUUUUGAUGUCAUAUUCUAUCCUAGUCAUUAUUCCUUCUCCAUACAUCUUAAUAUUUUUACUGUAAGUUACAGAUGCCAAAGUGAGACCACUAGGAACCUAUUUGCUCUGUAAACCUACAAGAAAUCAGCUUUUCUGUAAACAUUCAUGAUGUGGUCUUUUCCUGACGCAGAAUGUGAUAGGUUUAGGCUCAUGAAUGUUAGUUGCAGAACCAAAUGUCAUGGAAGUUUGUCCAGAGUUUUCCGUGCUUCUGCAAAACAAAACACCAGAAAACGCAAACUUCCAAGCUACUGAUGAUCACAAAAGCGCAGCUAACACUGAAUGAGGGUACUGUUACGUAUAACUCUUGGCUCUUACAGCAGGACAAAGUGCUUAUACCUUAGAAAAACGUGGGAAAAGUAAAAAGAAAAUAAGAGGGUUAAUUCCUAGGAAGUGAUGGUGGAUGGCUGACAGAAAUUUAAUUAUGUGUGAGAGGGAAUGAUACUGUUGUGCUAUCAUGUGGGAAAAAGAGAGGGGGCAUGAAUUGAUUCUUGUGUGUCAUUGCCUUUUCCUGAACGACUUACCAGCAUGGAGCCGACUGCAUCCUGGAUAAUG